AGUGAACGCUGGCGGUAGGCCUAACACAUGCAAGUCGAACGGCAGCACAGUAAGAGCUUGCUCUUACGGGUGGCGCGUGGCGGACGGGUGAGGAAUACAUCGGAAUCUACUUUUUCGUGGGGGAUAACGUAGGGAAACUUACGCUAAUACCGCAUACUACCUACGGGUGAAAGCAUGGGAUCUUCGGACCUUGCGCGAUUGAAUGAGCCGAUGUCGGAUUAGCUAGUUGGCGGGGUAAAGGCCCACCAAGGCGACGAUCCGUAGCUGGUCUGAGAGGAUGAUCAGCCACACUGGAACUGAGACACGGUCCAGACUCCUACGGGAGGCAGCAGUGGGGAAUAUUCGACAAUGGGCGCAAGCCUGAUCCAGCAACACCGCGUGAGUGAAGAAGGCCUUCGGGUUGUAAAGCCCUUUUAUUGGGAAAGAAAAGCAGCGGGUUAAUACCCCGCUGUUCUGACGGUACCCAAAGAAUAAGCACCGGCUAACUUCGUG
rnacentral:rRNA from 1 species